GGAUGUGCAGGUUUGUUACAUAGGUAAAUGUGUGCCAUGAUGGUUUGCUGCACAGAUCAUCCCAUCAUGUAGGCAGGUCUUUCAGGAAGUAUUCCAAACAAAGGCAUUGUUAUCCUAGAAGAUGACAGCUCCAUGCAUGUUAUUAUCCCUGAAAUCCUUCCAGUGGGACAAGAUAUGGAAAUGGAAGACAGUGAUAUUGAUGAUCCUGAUGCUGUGUAGGCCUAGGUGCAGACGGUGGAGUUAAUCAUUCUCCUCAGUUCCUACUUGGUGAAUGUUUCAUGCAUCCGUGUGAAGAGAGUCCACCAAACAGGCUUUGUGUCUUUACCUCUCAACUGAACCCUGAACUCCUGGAGAAUAGAUGCUGUCGGGAAAUCACCAGCUUCUCACAAAGCAAUGAUCGUUGAAUAAAUCCUUGUUAAAUAAUGACAGUUUUCCUUUUUGGAUUGCUGUGAUCUCUACUCCCAUCACGACUGCUAAGCCUUGGGCAGGAGACCUUGUAUUCCCAGCCAGCUAUUCUUCCCACCGCCAUCCGAGGACUCAAUGGUAGGAGGGUCCUGUAGAUUAGAUAAAAAGCCACAAACAUCUCAGUAACCUCAAGCUGUUUUAGGCACAUCUUGUAUCCCUCUUGCCUCAACUCUGGAAUUGGUUACCACUACUUCUGAACUGGGUGGCAGCUACAGACAGAGGUGGUAAGGGAGUAAUUGCUUAGGAUUGGACUGAGCUGAAGAAUGUUUAGCCUGGCGGUACUAGUGCAACUGGAAGAACAGAUGAACCAUAGUUUGCAACACAAAGCCAAGUCAACCAACAGAAGAAAUAUAUAUUUUAAGAAGAUUUUAUAUUUUCAACUGAAAACGUUCAUGUCAGUUGUGAAUGUAUUUGUAAUUGGCAGCCCCAAAUCAUCUCCCUUUUUAUUUUUGAGAAAGUGUAGUGUGCUUUAGUAUUUGGAACAUUCAUUUAAACCUAUUAAAUUAUAUUUUAAAAUGCACUGUUCCCAUUUCAAUCAAAAUUGGUUUUAUACUAUAUAUUGUAACACUAAAGUGCUUCUGGUAAUUUGCUUGUAAAACCAAAACUCUUUUAAAUUUAUCCACUUGUCCCUUUCAGAAAUGACGUGUUUGUGCAUAGGACUUGUUAGUAUUCUGAUUCAAACAAAACUACAGUACAUGUAAAAACAUAUUUAUAGAACAUAAAUAAGAAAAUGUGAACCCUGAAGAAUAUUUGAUGGAACUAAUGGACUAUUCUAAUUUUUAUGUGUGAAAAUGAUAAUGUGAUUUUUUAAAAGAGUCCUUCUUUUUUAGACAUGCACACUGAAAUAAUUAUAGAUGAAAUUAUGCAAUGUCUGUGAUUUGUUUCAAAAUAGUCUGGUGCUUAGGGAGAGAGAAGUGGGUGGGGAGAGAGAUGAAAUAAGCUUAGUUAUGAGUUGGUAAUUGUUGAAGCUGGGUCCUAUAUAUAUAUGGGGGUAAGGUCAUAUUCUAUUCUACUUUUGCAUAGAUUUGAAAUUUUUCAUAAUAAAAAGUUAAAAACAAAUCACACACCAAAAAAACUCCCAAACCCAACUGUCAUUAUUUAAUAACUUUGAACUUGGUAUGGACCUAAGAAGGCAUCUUUUACAAGGGAAAUGUGCAGUUCCAAGUCUUUUUCUUGAUGAUUGGGUCUGAAUGUGUUAAUCAAUGCUGCCCUGUCAUAGCCCCGACAUAGGGAAAAUGCUGAAAUGUGAUUUUUAAAUCAUAAAAAUGUGCCCAUAGUAAUAGCUCCAUCUUUUGCACAAUAUUUAAAUCAAUUCAUUGAUUUCCAGUUGCCUGAUAUUCUUAUUUCAGUAACAAAAUAAACGAUACAUAGUUCAGUAAAGUUGAAUCCAUUUGGGUUCAUUUGUGCUCGAAGUCUG
rnacentral:lncRNA from 1 species